rnacentral:sRNA from 1 species
CAUUGACCUUAUCCUACAUGAAGUUCAUCUGGUCUUUUUUGGGACGAGGACAGAGUGUAUUGGGGACGGCCACGUGUAGACUGCUGGGCUGCGUCAAUACUGACCAGAUGAUCUUUGGAGACUUCAGAUCCACUGGCACAUCUUCACCCAUAAUAUUUUUGUUUUGCCUUUUAUCAAGAUUUGUUUGCUGUUACUUUAUGUGUCUGAAUGUUUUUCCAGUAUAUCUAUAAGUGCACUGUGUGUGCCCAGUACCCACGGAGGCUAGAAGAGGGUGUUGGAUUCCCUGGAACUGGAGUUGCAAGCCUCUCUGUGGGUGCUAGGAAUUGAAUCCAUCUCUCUAGACCUCUUACCCAUAUUUUUAAAACUUUAAAUCUAGAGGAACAAGUCUCCUCGAAUGCACGGCUGAAAUUGAAAGUGGCAGGAGCCCUGUGCAGAAAAGUGCCACACUACCUCAAGCCAUGCGACACAAGACCCUAGGACCCUGCUACUUCUGUUUGCAAGCAGGCUCUACAGGGGCAGCUCAGCCUCUCCUCAGUGCUGGGAUUAUAAUUGUGAAUCUACACCUAGCUCUUUCUCACUUGCUGCUCAAGCCACACCAUGCAAAACACCCCUGCCCUGAUUUCUCACUUCCUCAAAUAUACGCUGUUAUAUCCAGAGGCAGUGAAGAGAGAGACCUGCUUCAUUGGAGACAGAUGUUGAAAACACAGCUGCCCCUACAUCAAGACGGACUGCAGACUUCACCCUGACAAGGGAGACAGGAUCUCUGCAAGAACAAUAUAGACUUUUAACCACUAAGCCAUUUUAUUUUAGCUCAUAGGAUUUGUGUGUGUGUG